GUGAAUCAUCGAAUCUUUGAACGCACAUUGCGCCCUUUGGUAUUCCUUAGGGCAUGCCUGUUCGAGCGUCAUUUGAACAUUCAAGCUCAGCUUGGUGAUGGGUGUUUGUCCUUGCUACUACACGCAUGGGACUCGCCUCAAAAAUAGUUGGCAGCUUAUCUAUUAGCUCUAAACGCAGCAGAAUUGCAGUGAGAGUUGACUGAAAAGGCUAUCCAGUAAGCAAAUUAUCAGCUUGACCUCGGAUCAGGUAGGGAUACCCGCUGAACUUAAGCAUAUCAAUAAGCGGAGGA
rnacentral:misc_RNA from 1 species